UGCACACACCCUGUACUAAGAGUCUCCCAUGGCGUUUGUUUGCUAGGUGCUCUGCGUACGUGAAUGACGGUGACUGUGGUUAUUCCUCCUCUCAAUGCAUUCCUCGAAGCCUUCAUAGUGCAUUAAUUCGUUACAUGAAGUCUGAACGAUUCAGCAAAAGAACGCGCCUCGCAAAAUUCAUCCAGUAAUCGUCUCUUGAACGUUUCACGCUGUCGAAGAACGAAACACUUGUCGUUCACUUUGCUGUUUACUUUCAUUGCCCCUUUCACUGCUCACUGUAAUGGAGCACAUUGGGAACAGCCUCCCCUAGGAAAAGAACGCCCAUGUUGGAAACGUUAUUAUUUUCGAUUGAAUGACAUUCACACCGAAUGUCACUCGUUGUACUGCAUCGAGAUACAUGAAGAAAGAGAAUGUCAUUCACAAAUGAUGCCACUGUCGAAGAUGAAGACACCAGAGCUGAACAUAUGAAGCUAUAUACAGCUCUCUCCUGACGAGGGUCCGCAGUCGGUGCGAGAGGAAGAAGCAAAUGAGCUCCUCGAACUCUACGUGGAGAAGGGACAAGCCGCAGGCUAGCUGCAACUUGUGUUGUGUAGUCUUCUUCUCCAUUCCGUGUCUCAAGGUUUUCCUCCGUCACCCUCAAACUCAUUCGUGCGUAAUGCCAUUUUGCUUCGCCGUGUGAUACGAAGACAAAUGUCGUUCAAUCUGCAGCAUGACAGGGGUAUAAGACUCGAUCUUGUAUCCAUAACAAAAAAAAAAAAAAAAACAGAGACUAGGGGGAAUAAAACAAAUAAGGACGCACACAAGCACUUUUAUAUUUUUAUUUUUUUUGCUAGUCUCGGGUUUUCGUUAUGGAUAUCUGACACCAGCUGGCUUGCUUUCUAUCUUUUUUAUCAUUAUCGAUCUUGUAUUUUUGCGACAGGAUUGAAGUGCGCACGUAAUGACUGUGUCUACACAGAGAAGCUAUUCAGGGAUAUAUUUUCUAGAUAUAUAGUUCCCUCGAAAGCUUUUGGACUGUAUGGGAUCCGAAUGCAAGGUCUGACCUUGGCUGACAAGGUCUUUUGAGUGUUUCGAGCAGAGGUCUUCUGUUCUACAGGUCCUGGCAAAAGUUUAUGGAACACCGGAGUGGUGCAUAUAGCCAUCGGAGUGAUGUCGUCGUUGCAAACAGGUGACAGGGUACUCCAUGCACCUCUCAGUAAGUGUUCCGUAAACUUUUGUCGGGAUCUGUACUACAAUUACUCAUAACCCAUAACCCUGCCCUUAUUUCCAAUAAUGUUAAUUCUCACGCAAAUCCCAUCAUUACACAUUUGUCAUGAUCACGAUUAGAGGAUUUUCAAGUAAAAUCGGUAACAACCGAAUCUAGCUACACACAGUGUAGUAAGUUCGUACAAAUAUGUGAAACGCUACCCUGUGUUUCUGUUUCUGCCUUUUUCCUUGUAGGAAGAGAAAAGCUUAUUGAAACGUGCGAGGCGACAUGAAACCAAACUAGAGAAACCAACACCUCCAUGUAGCAGAUUCCGUCUGCAAGUGGACAGAGCUUGCAAUGCUGUGCUUUCAGCAGAUUGCAUUCAAUGAAAGAGCUAAGUCA